CAAAACUUUCAGCAACGGAUCUCUUGGUUCUGGCAUCGAUGAAGAACGCAGCAAAAUGCGAUAAGUAAUGUGAAUUGCAGAAUUCAGUGAAUCAUCGAAUCUUUGAACGCACAUUGCGCCCGCCAGUAUUCUGGCGGGCAUGCCUGUCUGAGCGUCAUUUCAACCC
rnacentral:rRNA from 1 species